rnacentral:rRNA from 1 species
AUGAACGCUAGCUACAGGCUUAACACAUGCAAGUCGAGGGGCAGCAUGGACCCAGCUUUGCUGGGUUUGAUGGCGACCGGCGCACGGGUGAGUAACGCGUAUCCAACCUGCCCUUUACUCCGGGAUAGUCUCCUGAAAGGGAGUUUAAUACCGGAUGUGUUUGUCUUUCCGCAUGGGAGCGACAAAUAAAGAUUAAUUGGUAAAGGAUGGGGAUGCGUCCCAUUAGCUUGUUGGCGGGGUAACGGCCCACCAAGGCGACGAUGGGUAGGGGUUCUGAGAGGAAGGUCCCCCACAUUGGAACUGAGACACGGUCCAAACUCCUACGGGAGGCAGCAGUGAGGAAUAUUGGUCAAUGGGCGGGAGCCUGAACCAGCCAAGUAGCGUGAAGGACGACGGCCCUACGGGUUGUAAACUUCUUUUAUAAGGGAAUAAAGUUCGCCACGUGUGGUGUUUUGUAUGUACCUUAUGAAUAAGCAUCGGCUAAUUCCGUGCCAGCAGCCGCGGUAAUACGGAAGAUGCGAGCGUUAUCCGGAUUUAUUGGGUUUAAAGGGAGCGUAGGCGGGCUUUUAAGUCAGCGGUCAAAUGUCGUGGCUCAACCAUGUCAAGCCGUUGAAACUGUAAGCCUUGAGUCUGCACAGGGCACAUGGAAUUCGUGGUGUAGCGGUGAAAUGCUUAGAUAUCACGAAGAACUCCGAUCGCGAAGGCAUUGUGCCGGGGCAUAACUGACGCUGAGGCUCGAAAGUGCGGGUAUCAAACAGGAUUAGAUACCCUGGUAGUCCGCACGGUAAACGAUGAAUGCUCGCUAUGGGCGAUAUAUUGUCCGUGGCCAAGCGAAAGCGUUAAGCAUUCCACCUGGGGAGUACGCCGGCAACGGUGAAACUCAAAGGAAUUGACGGGGGCCCGCACAAGCGGAGGAACAUGUGGUUUAAUUCGAUGAUACGCGAGGAACCUUACCAGGGUUUAAAUGGGUCCUGAAUAAUUUGGAAACAGAUUAGCCGCAAGGCAGGAUUCAAGGUGCUGCAUGGUUGUCGUCAGCUCGUGCCGUGAGGUGUCGGCUUAAGUGCCAUAACGAGCGCAACCCUUCUCCCCAGUUGCCAUCGGGUAAUGCCGGGCCCUCUGGGGACACUGCCAUCGUAAGAUGCGAGGAAGGUGGGGAUGACGUCAAAUCAGCACGGCCCUUACGUCCGGGGCCACACACGUGUUACAAUGGGGGGUACAGAGGGCCGCUGUCCGGUGACGGUCGGCCAAUCCCUAAAACCCCUCUCAGUUCGGACUGGAGUCUGCAACCCGACUCCACGAAGCUGGAUUCGCUAGUAAUCGCGCAUCAGCCAUGGCGCGGUGAAUACGUUCCCGGGCCUUGUACACACCGCCCGUCAAGCCAUGAAAGCCGGGGGUGCCUGAAGUCCGUGACCGCGAGGGUCGGCCUAGGGUAAAACUGGUGAUUGGGGCU